UGUGACAACUGUGACAUUCCUGUAGUUUCCGAGGCACUGCAUGCCUCAGUUAAAAAAAUCGAGUGGAAAUUUUACAACUAAUGUCCUCUUUAAUGUAACCAAGAGUACAGUUGAUUCUAUUGUCCCUAUCGGAGAACUCCUGCUCCAGGUAAAAUUAACAUUUGACGUCCAGAAAGCUGUAUGCCAUGAAAAUGACAGAAAUGACUUGGUGGGAUGUCAGCUGGAAAGUCCCUAAGAUACUAAAGCUGCUACUUGCACCAGCCAAGUCAUGUUUGAAGCUGGCGAGAUCCAGAGUGUUACAGUAGAAUGCAGUGAACCAACAACAGUGUGUCCCACCCAACACCAUCGACAACAUCAACUCCAACAUCAUUGUUAACUGCAACAUCAUCGAAAACUGCAACUUCAACAGCAACAUCAACAAUAUCAUCGUUGAAAAGCAGUCACUCAUCAGAGGAAACCUGGAGGGUAAUAACUCUGUGUUUUUGAUUUUCAUACUCAUUGUCUGAGAUGUCCUGAAACCCAAUGCAGUGAGAAUGGUUCAUUGUAAAUUCUCAACACAAGGUAU